UAAUACAGAGGCCACAAGCGUUAGUCGGAAUCACUGGGCUUAAAGGGUGCGUAGGCGGAGUUGUAAGUGUUCUGUGAAAGCCCCCGGCUCAACCGGGGAACAGCAGGGCAUACUGCAAUUCUCGAGGAACGUAGGGGCGGGCAGAACAGUAGGUGGAGCGGUGAAAUGCGUAGAUAUCUACUGGAAUGCCGAUGGGGAAGCCGGCCCGCUGGGCGUUUCCUGACGCUGAGGCACGAAAGCGUGGGGAUCAAACAGGAUUAGAUACCCUGGUAGUCCACGCCGUAAACGAUGCGCACUAGACCGGUGCGGUUUUGACGCCGUAUCGGUCGUAGUAAAAACGAUAAGUGCGCCGCCUGGGGAGUACGGUCGCAAGGCUA
rnacentral:rRNA from 1 species